rnacentral:lncRNA from 1 species
GGCCCAUUAGUUACAGAGGAAAAUAUUUUGUAAAAAUUAACAAAAAUUGUUAAAAAAUUACUAUUAAGGGUAAUAACUCCUUAAGGGGUCAACUGACAAUUUUGGUCAUGUUGACUUGAAGAUCUUACUUUGCUGAACAGUAUUGCUAAUUACUGUUCAUCUCUAUCUAUAAUAAUAUUCAAGAUAAUGAUCCAAAACGGCAAAAUUU